rnacentral:rRNA from 1 species
UACAGAGGUCUCAAGCGUUGUUCGGAUUCAUUGGGCGUAAAGGGUGCGUAGGUGGCAUCGUAAGUCGGGUGUGAAAUUUCGGAGCUCAACUCCGAAACUGCAUUCGAUACUGCGGUGCUUGAGGACUGGAGAGGAGACUGGAAUUUACGGUGUAGCAGUGAAAUGCGUAGAGAUCGUAAGGAAGACCAGUGGCGAAGGCGGGUCUCUGGACAGUUCCUGACACUGAGGCGACGAAAGGCCAGG